rnacentral:misc_RNA from 1 species
GCAAACUUGGUCAUUUAGAGGAAGUAAAAGUCGUAACAAGGUUUCCGUAGGUAAGUGAAAGAUAUCCAUCUUAUUAUCUUUCUAUGCUUGAAUAACGUGCUAACUUUUUCCUUUUAGGUGAACCUGCGGAAGGAUCAUUACCAAGAGUGUAUGACCCACCUAGCAUAAAUAGGUUGGGUUAACCUCCCGUCCUUUGCUGGCCCCUUUUUUUUGAGGGAGCUUUUGAUUUCUGCUUCGGUGGGGUUACUCACCGGAACACCCUUAAAAAAAUUCUUUGUCCAAAAUUUGUUCAGUCCGAGGGUUUUAUUUUAAAAUAACGAAAAACUUUCAACAACGGAUCUCUUGGUUCUGGCAUCGAUGAAGAACGCAGC